UACGUAGGUGGCAAGCGUUGUCCGGAUUUACUGGGCGUAAAGAGCGCGCAGGCGGUCGUUCAAGUCGCGUGUGAAAGCCCCCGGCUCAACUGGGGAGGGUCACGCGAUACUGAUCGACUCGAAGGCAGGAGAGGGUAGUGGAAUUCCCGGUGUAGUGGUGAAAUGCGUAGAUAUCGGGAGGAACACCUGCGGCGAAGGCGGGUUGCUGGGCUGAUACUGACGCUGAGGCGCGAAAGCCAGGGGAGCGAACGGG
rnacentral:rRNA from 1 species